UGGUUCUGGCAUNGAUGAAGAACGCAGCGAAACGCGAUAGGUAAUGUGAAUUGCAGAAUUCAGCGAAUCAUCGAAUCUUUGAACGCACAUUGCGCCUUUUGGUAUUCCGAGAGGCAUGUCUGUUCGAGCGUCAUUGCAACUCUCAAGCGUCUGCUUGGUAUUGGGCCACGUUGAAAAACGAGCCUGAAAAAUAGAGGCAGUUCGGCAAGACUCCGGGUGUAGUAAAUUUCCGCCUGAGGGGGUUCUUGAUGAGCUUGCCAUCUCGCAUAUUUUAGUUUGACCUCGAAUCAGACAAGGAUACCCGCUGA
rnacentral:misc_RNA from 1 species